GACAGUUCGGUCCAUAUCUGCCGUGGGCGCUGGAGAACUGAGGGGGGCUGCUCCUAGUACGAGAGGACCGGAGUGGACGCAUCACUGGUGUUCGGGUUGUCAUGCCAAUGGCACUGCCCGGUAGCUAAAUGCGGAAGAGAUAAGUGCUGAAAGCAUCUAAGCACGAAACUUGCCCCGAGAUGAGUUCUCCCUGACUCCUUGAGAGUCCUGAAGGAACGUUGAAGACGACGACGUUGAUAGGCCGGGUGUGUAAGCGCAGCGAUGCGUUGAGCUAACCGGUACUAAUGAACCGUGAGGCUUAACCUUACAACGCCGAAG
rnacentral:rRNA from 1 species